GAUGAACGCUGGCGGCGGGCCUAAUACAUGCAAGUAGAACGCUGAAGGAGGACUUUGCUCUUCUGGAUGAGUUGCGAACGGGUGAGUAACGCGUAGGUAACCUUCCUGGUAGGGGGGGAUAACUGGUGGAAACGGUAGCUAAUGCCGCAGGACAGCGGGUAUUGCAUGGUAACUUUUGAAAAGGAGGCACUGCUCCGCUACCAGAUGGACCUGAGUUGUAUUAGCUAGUUGGGGAGGUAACGGCUCACCAAGGCGACGAUACAGAGCCGAGCUGAAGUGGGGAACGGCCAACCUGGGAACGGGACCAGGGCCAGAAUCCCUACGGAGGGAGCAGUAGGGAAACUUUGGCAAUGGGCGGAAGUCUGACCCCGCCAAUGCGGGUGAGGGGAGAAGGGUCUUGGAUCGUAAAGGUCUGUUGUAAGGGGAGAAAGGGUAGGAGAGUGGAAACUUGACGCUGUGACGUUACCUUAACAGAAAGGGCCGGCUAACUACGUG
rnacentral:rRNA from 1 species